rnacentral:rRNA from 1 species
GACGAACGCUGGCGGCGUGCUUAACACAUGCAAGUCGAACGGAAAGGCCCUGCUUGCAGGGUACUCGAGUGGCGAACGGGUGAGUAACACGUGGGUGAUCUGCCCUGCACUUCGGGAUAAGCCUGGGAAACUGGGUCUAAUACCGGCUAGGAGCCAUUUUUAGUGUGAUGGUUGGAAAGUUUUUUCGGUGUAGGAUGAGCUCGCGGCCUAUCAGCUUGUUGGUGGGGUAAUGGCCUACCAAGGCGGCGACGGGUAGCCGGCCUGAGAGGGUGGACGGCCACAUUGGGACUGAGAGACGGCCGAGACUCCGACGGGAGGCAGCAGUGGGGAAGAUUGCACAAUGGGCGCAAGCCUGAUGCAGCGACGCCGCGUGGGGGAUGACGGCCUUCGGGUUGUAAACUCCUUGCGCUAGGGACGAAGCUUUUUGUGACGGUACCUAGAUAAGAAGCACCGGCUAACUACGUG